rnacentral:rRNA from 1 species
UACGGAGGGUGCAAGCGUUAUCCGGAUUUACUGGGUUUAAAGGGUGCGUAGGCGGGCAGGUAAGUCCGUGGUGAAAUCUCCAAGCUUAACUUGGAAACUGCCGUGGAUACUAUUUGUCUUGAAUAUAGUGGAGGUGAGCGGAAUAUGUCAUGUAGCGGUGAAAUGCUUAGAUAUGACAUAGAACACCGAUUGCGAAGGCAGUUCACUAGGCUUGUAUUGACACUGAGGCACGAAAGCGUGGGGAUCAAACAGG